AACGAACGCUGGCGGCAUGCCUAACACAUGCAAGUCGAACGAGACCUUCGGGUCUAGUGGCGCACGGGUGCGUAACGCGUGGGAACCUGCCCUUAGGUUCGGAAUAACUCCCCGAAAGGGGUGCUAAUACCGGAUAAUGUCUUCGGACCAAAGAUUUAUCGCCUUUGGAUGGGCCCGCGUUGGAUUAGCUAGUUGGUAGGGUAAAAGCCUACCAAGGCGACGAUCCAUAGCUGGUCGGAGAGGAUGAUCAGCCACACUGGGACUGAGACACGGCCCAGACUCCUACGGGAAGCAGCAGUGGGGAAUAUUAGACAAUGAGCGAAGGCCUGAUCCAGCAAUGCCGCGUGAGUGAUGAAGGCCUUAGGGUUGUAAAGCUCUUUUACCCGGGAUGAUAAUGACAGUACCGGGAGAAUAAGCUCCGGCUAACUACGUG
rnacentral:rRNA from 1 species